rnacentral:rRNA from 1 species
CCUACGGGAGGCAGCAGUGAGGAAUAUUGGUCAAUGGACGCAAGUCUGAACCAGCCAUGCCGCGUGCAGGAAGACGGCUCUAUGAGUUGUAAACUGCUUUUGUACGAGGGUAAACGCAGAUACGCGUAUCUUUCUGCACGUAUCGUUCGAAUAAGGAUCGGCUAACUCCGGGCCAGCAGCCGCGGUAAUACGGAGGAUUCAAGCGUUAUCCGGAUUUAUUGGGUUUAAAGGGUGCGUAGACGGUCGGAUAAGUUAGAGGUGAAAUCCCGAGGCUCAACUUCGUAAUUGCCUCUGAUACUGUUCGGCUAGAGAGUAGUUGAGGUAGGCGGAAUGUAUGGUGUAGCGGUGAAAUGCUUAGAGAUUAUACAGAACACCGAUUGCGAAGGCAGCUUACCAAGCUACUUCUGACGUUGAGGCACGAAAGCGUGGGGAGCAAACAGGAUUAGAUACCCCAGUAGUC